GUAGUCCACGCCCUAAACGAUGCGCACUAGAUCGAGGAGGUUGACACCCCCUUGGUCGAAGCAAAAGUGUUAAGUGCGCCGCCUGGGGAGUACGGUCGCAAGGCUAAAACUCAAAGGAAUUGACGGGGGCUCACACAAGCGGUGGAGCAUGUGGCUUAAUUCGAAGCAACGCGAAGAACCUUAUCCUAGGCUUGACAUGCACGGAUCAACCUCUUGAAAGAGAGGCCACUGUCGCAAGACCGGAACGUGCACAGGUGCUGCAUGGCUGUCGUCAGCUCGUGCUGUGAAGUGUCGGGUUAAGUCCCUCAACGAGCGAAACCCCUGUCGUUAGUUGCUAACGGGUAAUGCCGAGGACUCUAGCGAGACUGCCGGUGUCAAACCGGA
rnacentral:rRNA from 1 species